UACGUAGGCAGCGAGCGUUGUUCGGAGUUACUGGGCGUAAAGCGCAUGUAGGCGGUUAUGCAAGUGGCGUGUGAAAGCUCCCGGCUAAACUGGGAGAGGACACGUCAGACUGCAUGGCUAGAGGGUGUUAGAGGGGCGCAGAAUUCGGGGUGUAGCGGUGAAAUGUGUAGAGAUCCCGAGGAAUACCAGUGGUGAAGACGGCGCCCUGGGACGAUUGACUGACGCUGAGCUGCGAAAGCGUGGGGAGCGAACGGG
rnacentral:rRNA from 1 species